rnacentral:rRNA from 1 species
CAGCCGUAAACUAUGCGCGUUAGGUGUAUCGGUAACCACGAGUCACCGAGGUGCCGAAGGGAAACCGUGAAACGUGCCGCCUGGGAAGUACGGUCGCAAGGCUGAAACUUAAAGGAAUUGGCGGGGAGCACCACAACGGGUGGAGCCUGCGGUUUAAUUGGACUCAACGCCGGGAAGCUCACCGGAUAAGACAGCGGAAUGAUUGCCGGGCUGAAGACUCUGCAUGACUAGCUGAGAGGAGGUGCAUGGCGUAGACGUCU